rnacentral:rRNA from 1 species
UGAGGGAAUAUUGGGUCAAUGGGCGGUAGCCUGAACCAGCCAAGUCGCGUGAGGGAUGACGGCCCUACGGGUUGUAAACCUCUUUUAUAAGGGAAUAAAGGACAUCACGUGUGGUGUUUUGCAUGUACCUUAUGAAUAAGCAUCGGCUAACUCCGUGCCAGCAGCCGCGGUAAUACGGAGGAUGCGAGCGUUAUCCGGAUUUAUUGGGUUUAAAGGGUGCGUAGGCGGGAUGUUAAGUCAGCGGUGAAAGUUUGCGGCUCAACCGUAAAAUUGCCGUUGAAACUGGCGUUCUUGAGUGUAAACGAGGUAGGCGGAAUGUGACGUGUAGCGGUGAAAUGCUUAGAUAUGUCACAGAACCCCGAUUGCGAAGGCAGCUUACCAGCAUACAACUGACGCUGAGGCACGAAAGCGUGGGUAUCAAACAGGAUUAGAUACCCUGGUAGU